rnacentral:rRNA from 1 species
AUUGAACGCUGGCGGCAUGCCUUACACAUGCAAGUCGAACGGCAGCACGGGUGCUUGCACCUGGUGGCGAGUGGCGAACGGGUGAGUAAUAUAUCGGAACGUACCUUAUUGUGGGGGAUAACGCAGCGAAAGCUGUGCUAAUACCGCAUAAUCCCUAAGGGGGAAAGCGGGGGACCGUAAGGCCUCGCGCAAUUAGAGCGGCCGAUACCUGAUUAGCUAGUUGGUGAGGUAGAGGCUCACCAAGGCAACGAUCAGUAGCUGGUCUGAGAGGACGAUCAGCCACACUGGGACUGAGACACGGCCCAGACUCCUACGGGAGGCAGCAGUGGGGAAUUUUGGACAAUGGGGGCAACCCUGAUCCAGCAAUGCCGCGUGAGUGAAGAAGGCCUUCGGGUUGUAAAGCUCUUUUGUCAGGGAAGAAACAGCAGCUCUAACACAGUAUGCGAAUGACGGUACCUGAAGAAUAAGCACCGGUUAACUACGUGCCAGCCGCCGCGGUAA